rnacentral:rRNA from 1 species
GUUUGAUCCUGGCUCAGGACUAACGCUGGCGGCGUGCCUAAUCUAUGCAAGUCUACCCGUCUUCGGACGAGUGGCAGACGAGUGAGUAACACGUAGGAACCUACCUCUAACAUGGCCAUAACCCACCGAAAGGUGGGAUAAUAGCCAAUAGUCUCUUCGGUUGGUAACCGAAAGAGUAAAGCUUUCGGGCGGUUAGAGACGGGCCUGCGUUCUAUCAGCUAGUUGGUGAGGUAAAGGCUUACCAAGGCUAUGACGGAUAGGGGGCGUGAGAGCGUGAUCCCCCACGAUGGCACUGAGACACGGGCCAUACACCUACGGGUGGCAGCAAGUAGGGAUCUUGCGCAAUGCCCACAAUUUGUGGGUGACGCAGCGACGCCGCGUGCAGGAAGAAGCUUUUCGGAGUGUAAACUGACGUCAAGAAGGGACGGCUAACUCCGUGCCAGCAGCAGCGGUAAUACGGGGGUCCCAAGCGUUGUCCGGUAUUAUUGGGCGUAAAGAGUUCUGUAGGCGGCAAAGUAAGUUUUGGGUUAAAACCUCCGGCUCAACCGGAGAUCAGCUUGAAAUACUGCUUUGCUAGAGAAAUGCAGGGGAGGAUGGAAUGCAUGGUGUAGUGGUGGAAUACGUUGAUAUCAUGCAGAACACCGAAGGCGUAGGCAAUCCUCUGGGCAUUUUCUGACGCUGAGAGACGAAAGCGUGGGGAGCAAAACGGAUUAGAUACCCGUGUAGUCCACGCUGUAAACGAUGUCUACUCGGUCCGUGAUGAUAAUUUAUUGUCAUUGCGAGCCUCAGCUAACGCAAUAAGUAGACCGCCUGGGGACUACGGCCGCAAGGCUAAAACUCAAAGGAAUUGGCGGGGACCCGCACAAGCGGUGGAGCGCCUGCUUUAAUUCGAUGCUAAGCGAAGAACCUUACCGAGGUUCGACAUGCUACUGCAUGUUCCCUGAAAGGGGAACGGUCCUUCGAGGGUGUAGCACAGGUAUUGCAUGGCUGUCGUCAGCUCGUGUCGUGAGAUGUACCGUUAAGUCGGGUAACGAGCGCAACCCUUACCGUUAGUUGUAUCACUCUAGCGGAACUGCCCGGGCAACCGGGAGGAAGGCGAGGAUGACGACAAGUCAGCAUGGUCCUUAUGCCUCGGGCGAGACAGGCGCUACAAUGGCCAGUACAAUGGGUCGCUACACGGUAACGUGAUGCUAAUCUCAUAAAACUGGUCUCAGUUCGGAUUGUGGGCUGCAACUCGCCCACAUGAAGCCGGAAUCGCUAGUAAUCGCCGGUCAGCUAUACGGCGGUGAAUACGUUCUCGGGUCUUGCACACACUGCCCGUCAAAUCAGCAGAGUUGGGAAUACCCGAAGUCCGCACUUUGGUGUGGCCUAAGGUAGGCUCAAUGAUGAGGAUUAAGUCGUAACAAGGUAACC